rnacentral:rRNA from 1 species
UAUAGAAUACUCAAGCUAUGCAUCCAACGCGUUGGGAGCUCUCCCAUAUGGUCGACCUGCAGGCGGCCGCGAAUUCACUAGUGAUUGGAUUAGGCAUGCAAGUCGAACGCGCAAAGCCCUUCGGGGCCGAGCGAGUGGCGAACGGGUGAGUAAUGCAUGAAUACCUACCCCGAUGACUGGGAUAACUACUCGAAAGGGUAGCUAAUACUGGAUGUGGUCCUCACGGACCAAAGCUGGCCUCUGUAUAUGCUGGCGCAUCGGGAGGGGUUCAUGUGCUAUUAGCUUGUUGGUGAGGUAACGGCUCACCAAGGCGAUGAUGGCUAGCCGGCCUGAGAGGGUGUCCGGCCACACUGGGACUGAGACACUGCCCAGACUCCUACGGGAGGCUGCAGUCGAGAAUCUUCCACCAAUGCGCGAAAGCGUGAUGGAGCGACGCCGCGUGGACGAUGAAGGCCUUCGGGUUGUAAAGUCCUGUUGGAUGGGCGUAAUCCCCUAGGGUUAAUACCCCUUAGGGUUGAACUCCCAUCGGAGGAAGCACCGGCUAAAUUCGUGCCAGCAGCCGCGGUAAUACGAAUGGUGCGAGCGUUGUUUGGAAUCACUGGGCAUAAAGAGCACGUAGGCGGUCUCGUAAGUCAUCUGUGAAAUCCCCCGGCUCAACUGGGGAACUGCAGCUGAUACUGCGGGACUAGAGUGCGCGAGGGGAGAGCGGAAUUCCUGGUGGAGCGGUGAUAUGCGUAGAUAUCAGGAGGAACGCUGGAGGCGAAAGCGGCUCUCUGGUGCGCAACUGACGCUGAGGUGCGAAAGCUAGGGGAGCGAACAGGAUUAGAUACCCUGGUAGUCCUAGCCGUAAACGAUGGGCACUAAGUAGAGGGGUUUUAAUCGAAUUCCCGCGGCCGCCAUGGCGGUCGGGAGCAUGCGACGUCGGGCUCAAUUCGCUCUAUAGUGAGUCGUAUUACAAUU